AAAAAAAGCCAUUAGCGUGGAGUGGUACUAACGGUGGGACGUAAAACACCUUUACUUUGCUGACCAGCCAAAAAAUAUAUGCAGGUUCAUUGCGCCGUGGCCGAGCGCUGGGCUUGAGAGAAGAGACGCCAUUAGAGCAAUGGUCAGUCGACGAAAGGGAAGAGUGAGUUUGUGGCCGAGAAGGUAGCCGAAUUCUGCUGAUGUAGGGACGUACGUCAGAUGUCUUAAUGGGCAGACAUUUAACAACAAGGGACUUAUCGAUUAGACGGUCUUACGCCACGGAGGAAAUGAGUUAAUUUCUAACUUACAUAUCUACUACAUUUACUAAUGGUAUAUUCAUAGUUUCGGGCGGAAAUCGUUUGCCCAAAUUAUGGUCCGAACUGCUCACAGUACCAACUUCCUUAAGAGGUACGGAUUGUUCCGCGUGGUCCUGUUGUUUACACGUCCUAGGAUGACGAGCACCUGUUACAUAUUCUUGUUUUACGCCCCGGAGUUGUUAUUUUUUCACCAAAGGCUUCACUCUUUGAA